UACGUAUGGAGCAAGCGUUAUCCGGAUUUACUGGGCGUAAAGGGAGCGUAGGCGGCCUGCCAAGUCUGAUGUGAAAUACCGGGGCUCAACCCCGGGGCUGCAUUGGAAACUGGCAGACUUGAGUUGGCGAGAAGUACGCGGAAUGCGCGGUGUAGCGGUGAAAUGCAUAGAUAUCGCGCAGAACUCCGAUUGCGAAGGCAGCGUACCGGCGCCAGACUGACGCUGAGGCACGAAAGCGUGGGGAUCGAACAGG
rnacentral:rRNA from 1 species